CGACUGACAUGGCAAGUCACGUAAUUUUAUAUUAAAAAAAAAACAAAAAAUCUGAUUGAAAGAAAUCCCCUCAUUUUUCUUGUUGAGAAUCCAUACCUCUCCCUCUCCCACCGACGCACGCACACAUAUCCUCCCUCUCUCACCGUCCGCCACCGGCCUCCGGUUCGUGCGGCAGCAGAGCACCAUUUCAGGCAUCGUCUUCCGGCUCCCCUCCAGCCAGCCUCACUUCUCCCACGAAUCCUAGCGGUAGAUUUUCUAGACUUCCAUAUUUUCCUCUUACUCGAAUGUUAGGGCUUUUGAUCUUCAAAUGUUGGGGUUUUUUAUUCUGCUGUGAUCUACGUUAGGGUUUUUUAUGUUUAUUUAAUUCUUUCUUGUUCUACCUGCUGUGUUUGAUCUACGUUAGGGUUUUGUUGCAGUUUGCAAAGUUCGGCUCUCUCUAUCUGCCCUUCUCUCUCUCUCGUUGGUUCACGUAGUGGUAAUGAAAAAGCUCGUGACAGUGCUGGGUUUCUUUUUGUUGUUGUUUGGUUAUUUGAGUCCAGUCUGCUACUUUAGAACAUUCCUAACAAUGUAUUGGUUCUAUGUUCUCCUUGUCGAGAUUUUCUUGCUUAAACCAUUUACUUGGACAACAUACAUGAAUUUCUUAAUGGUAAAUUUCAGAGUCCAAAUUGUACAACAUACAUAUUAACUUGAUCAUUAAAUGAGUUCUGAACUAGAUGUCAAUUUUUAAUCUAACGGGUCUCUUCAUUCUUUAUAUUUCUUUUGAAAAUAUCAGAAUUUUGUAAAUACUUCUUUGAUUGCACUUUGGACGACUAAUAUUUCCAAAAAAUAAAUUGUAACUUAUCUGUUUCGUUAAAUGCUAGGAUAUUGAUGGUUAUGUGUCUGUUUCUCUGUUGCAAACUGCCCUAAGCCAACAACUUAGAUAACAUGCUCAUUUUUUUCUCCUUAAUAAGUUGUUCCUCAAUAUAUGCAUUCACUUAAUUGUGUAUCCCUACAUGUUCUGCAACUCAGAAGGCUUGAAGCUAUUUCAUUGAUGCUGCCUGAGGUUUAAUAUGCCUACUCCAUGUUUGUAUCCUAAAUUGUAUCCAAGUUGAGAUGCAGUAUGUGUUUGAUUUAGGUUGUUGCAGAUUGUAUCACAUGAUAUAUUAGAGCAAAGAAGCUUGGAUAUUUAAUUAUGACAGAUUGCUCUAGACUCUUGUUCUCAGUUUAAUCGGAUCUUGCUCCAAUUACGUGCUCUUUUGCCGUUCCUCUUGUUUUAUCUUUGAUGAUUAUCGCUUAUGCUGUUCCUCUAGUUGUUCUGUUAUGCGAUUGUUUCUUUAACAUCUCAUCUAACAAUCAUCUAACAUCUUAUGCUACGUGUAUCUUUUGAAGUUGAGUUUUUAAUCGGUUGAUUCUAUUUUCGUCAUAUGUUAGUA